rnacentral:lncRNA from 1 species
CAAACGAAUAAGUUCGUUAAAGACCUCGGGAUAGUUUUGGACCUUAAGGCCCAAUGGGCUUCGAACGUCAAGCUCAUUAACUUAAGUUGUAUGACAACUUAAUGAAUAAUGAUUCACAAAGGCCCAAACAACCCAAAAAUACCCCAAGGCCGGCCAUGAUGCUAAGGGUAGUGAACUUGGACUUAAUUACAAGUUUGCCACUCAAAUGAAUAAAGCUAUAAAUAUGACUUUAUAGCCUAAAAUUCAUUAGGGUUUAUUUUGGGGAAAAUUGGAGAGAACAUGUCUCUCCAUUUUUCUCUAAAGAGGCCGGCCACCUUGGGGGGUACAUCUAGUAAUCCUACUCCAACGUCACUCAUAUCUUCUCCAAUCUAACCUUGGUGAAGAGACUUAGAGGUUCCCUAUUUUGGGAACUAGGAGAAACCUAUUCUUCCAUCCAAAUCCAUAGAUUUAAGAUGCAAGGAAUGAAGGCCCUCUCUUUGGGUGAUUAGCCUUUGCUUAUGCAAAGAGGAAUCUUCAAAGGUAUAAAUUUCAACUCACUUUGUUUUGAGUUGAUUAAUGGUUCACCAAUCUACUAGGCUUUGAAUUUCUUGGUUAAUGUUUUGUUUUUAAGUGCAUGCUAGCAUGAUUCCGCCUUUAAUUGUUAAUUGCAUGUUAUAUGAUGUUGCUUAAAUGAACAUGUUUUCACAAAAUAAAUCCUUCAGUUUCACUCUGAAUGGUGAAUAUACUGUUGGAAGUAUGCCCACAAAGCCACUCAUUUGAUGUAAUAGCUUUUGGAAUACUUAUUGUAUUAAACGUUUAUA